GCCGGCGUACUCAAGGGGUCGAAGAGGUUUGUCUUGAAAACAAAGAGGAGUGUAAAAGCUCGCGAGCGUUCGAAUCGUUCCGCCGGCG
rnacentral:tRNA from 1 species